rnacentral:rRNA from 1 species
AUGCGGACCCUUUUUUGGAACAUCCGCGGUUUCAGCCAGGAGGGCCGCCGCCGCCAGCUCAUCGAGUACAUGCGCGAUGAGCGAAUCGACAUUGUUGCAAUUCAAGAGACCAUGCGAACUGAGUUCACCUUGUCCGAGCUCGACCGCCUUAGUCCCCACCUGUUCGCCUGGCACUGGCUCCCUUCUAGUGGGAUUGCCGGUCACUCUGGUGGCAUCCUCUUAGGUGUCAAGGAUGCCACCUUUGAGGUGGGCAGCAUGGACCGGGGGGAGUUCUUUGUCAGCAUGGAGAUUUUCGAGAGGGCGAUGAACUUCAAAUGGGAGAUCAUCAUUGUUUAUGGCCCUGCCGACCACCGCCGGUCUGCGGCAUUCCUUGAUGAGCUCAAGAAUAAGGUGUCUGCCGCCCGCCUACCGGUCAUCCUGGGCGGCGACUUCAACCUACUCCGAUUUGCGGAGGACAAAAACAACGACCAAGUGAACUUCCCGCGGACACCCUCCGUGCCAUUACUCGUAUUGGCUCGGACCACGUUCCCCUGCUGCUCUCUUCUCAGGACGAAUGCCCUCCCGUCGCCCCCAGGUUCAGAUUCGAGACGUUCUGGCUCAACCAGAACGGCUUCUUGGAGGCCGUCCGUGCCCAAUGGCUGGAGGCCCGCAGCUCUCCCCACCGGUCCAUUUCUGUGGUGGAUGAUUGGCACUUCUGCGCCAAGCGUUCUCGCCAAUUCAUGA